rnacentral:lncRNA from 1 species
UCGCUGUGACGCCGUGACAACUAUAAUCCUUCUAGACAACUAUAAUCCUUCUAGACCUCAUAGCUUGAAAAUGUUCUAAGAUAUCUUCAUUAUCGAUAGUUUCAAAUACAUCAUUUUCAACAUAUUUUUUUCUGAGUUAUAAUUUUGACAAUUUGCCAAGUUUGUUCUGUUAUGUUGUCAUUUUCAUAACCUGUUUGUCUAAACAAAGGUUGAACUUUUCAAGAAACAGGGAGGGCCGAGUCCACAAAAAAAAUACAACCAACAACAGAUUUAACCCCAACUCUUAAGUCCUAAAAGUUAAAUACAUCAGAUUUAACCCCAACAGAGUCCACAACAGAUUUAACUCCAACUCUUAACAGGAAAUUUUUUUAAAAAAAACCCUAAAAAUUAUCAAAAAAAAUACUAAUUAGCUACCUCUCAAGUCCAAUACAACAAAUACAUCAAAUAAAUUGAAUUGGAUUUAACCCCAACUCCUCAAGUUCACAACCAACAACUAAUUUAAACAAAUUACAAAUUUUAAAUUAUCAAAUAAAAAAACCCUAAAUUUGUUGCCUUCUAAAUCUCAUAUGCGCAAAGGGCGAGGGCCGAGAAGAGUAGCCAAGGUCGCAGCUGAGAAAAGCUUGACUCGCGGACCAGUGUUUUGCUUGGCAGCCUUGGCUAAAUAGUGAUUAGUGAAGCAGAAGUGCAGAAGUGUCAAAGAAGCCCCUCUUAUCUAACUCUCUGUGACUCUUAUAAUGAAUUAGAUUAUAAUGGAUUCUUUCUUUUUACCCAUCACAUUUAACUUCCUUAUAAAUCUACCCCUUGAGUUUACUAACUUAUAAAUUUUGCCCCUUAAAUUUACAUAUAAAAAAAAAGUGAGCAUAGACAUGCCUAUGCUACAAACAUGUUUAUGAACAUAUUUUUUUUGUUUCAAAUCAAGGCGUAGGCCUUGUUACGCCUAGAGGCGCAAGGCUACGAGUCAUUCUAGCAGUCGGGUCGUUCGACCCGUUUGAGUCGGGUAAAAUGGACCAAGACCAAAAAUCAAUCAGGCGUUCGCCUCUAUUCUUAACCCUUCACUCUCCUUUCUCUGAGUUCGGGGCGACUCAAUUCAACGUCGGUCUCUUCAUUCUUCUCAGUUACCGGCGGCUCAUUUUGAUCUCUUCAGCAGGUAACCCUUAAUUCCUAGAUGUUUUGCUUCUCAUACAUUCUAGUGUUUGUUUUUAUCUCGGAAUCUGGAAAUGAUCAUCAAAUACAAAUUGGGGGAGUAAGUAGUAUUAUUGACGUCUUGUGUAUGUAUAUUUAUAUAUAUAUAUAUAUAUAUCAAAUUUUCAGGUCAAAAAUUCUUUUUGCAAAUUUUGUAGAAUAACUUGUUCUUGACUAGAUUCCUUUGCCAAGCUUGUAGAAUUUGAUGCCCAGAUCUAAAGAACUCACAUCAGCAGAGCACAUUCUCUUCCAAUUUGGUAUUCACAUUUGGUAUUCAAGCACAAAAAUUUCCUAAUCACGUUGUUAGAAUCUGAAGGGUGCCCUUCGAUCCUCAUAAUAUUAAGGAUCUAAUUUUUUAAAAUAUUAAUGGAAUUAAUGUUAUAUUUGGAACUAAAAUAAUCAGAGAAGAACCAGAAUCAAAUCAUCAUCAAUUCUAAUAAACCCAACAACGAAAAAAAUAGCAGAUUAGGAGAGUGAAAGAGGAAGAAGAAUAAUUACCCAGAUUCACCAUAAACGAAGUCAAUCACAGAAGCAAAUUUUAAAAAAUUAGGGUACAUAAUUUGGGAAUCUUACUCGUGAUUUCAAUAGAAAGUAGCAAAUCGAAAAAAUUGACAGCGAACAAGAGAAUAGCAGCAGCGGCAGAGCAAGCGGAGCAACUGUUUCUCUCUCUAAAUAUUUCUUCUCCCUUCAACUCAACUUUGUUCUCUUUACUCUUUCCACGUUCAGGUAUGCCAUUUAGGGGGCAUUUAGGGAGGGGGCUAAACUUAAUUUCUAUCCAAAACCCCUUCACUUUCCGGGUUUUACAACCUUUCCCAAAAAAUAUUCAACUUCUCAAACAAUUAGUAAUACCCAUCUUAAAACUAAUAUAUUGCUCCAAAAAUUAGUCUCUUGAGGCUUAAAAAAAGGAACCCCGCCUGAUAUGAAUGGAAUGAGCAGAAAGAUUUUAUUCCUUCAAUAAGAAAUAAAGCUCUAAUUCCCAACUUCCACAUGUUUUCAUAGAAAGUGAUAUAUAAUAAGACAUUAUAAACUACAAAUAGGAACACUGAAGCAAACCCAAAGCUACCAAAAUCAGAUUCAAAAUUAACAAAGCCAUUAAAGGUAAUCCAGAAAUGGAAAAGAAUAUCGAUGAGGUGAACAUCACCAACAAAUGAGAUAUUUAUAAAAAAAACAGAAACAAAAUCAAAGUAAAGAAAUUCGUACAUUCAGAUUCUGAGUUUGUACGAAUUAGGCAACGAUUAAAGAAAUUAGGCCACGAGAAAGUAAAGAAAUUCGUGCGCGACCAACGGAACCAGUAGACCAGCAGCCACGACGAGCAACCGCUAGAAAAAGAGGGAUUUUUAAAGAACAAACCCUAGAUUUUCAAAUGCCUGAAAAAAAUAUACAAACCCAAUAAAGUUAUGGAGCUUUACCUUCCGAUUUGUUUGCCUCUGCUUCCGAUGAGCUCUUCCGUCUGCUACUUUAUCGUGUGAGAGAGGGAGGGAAGAAGAUGGAGCAGAGUUUUUAGUCCGUCAGUUUGAUCUGAGCAGAGGUUCUAUUUUGAUUGAAUAUGGGUUUUUGACCCGUUUUUUUGUGACCCGCGCUCCUUUUUUGCUUUGGUCCG